AUGCGAGAUCAUGAGCUCGAUGGUGCCAUAGGCGAACAACAUGACAAUAGCACAUCCUACCAGCAGCAGCAGGAAAGGGUGAUUAAACCCCCAAUAUUCUCAAACACAAAGGGGAGGAAGAGAAAGACGCAAGCAUCAGCGAAAAAGCCACCACUCCCCAUCAAGCGCGUGGAAUUUGGCCCGGACGGCAAACCCCUCGGGGUAAGGGCAUGUGAAUUCUGCAACGUCGUGAGCAACCAUAACUACCGCACAUGCCCACUCCGCACAGAUGCCACUGUCAACAAGAACAAGCAGAUUGGAGCCACCCAGCUUUCUACCAAUGGAGACAACACACGUGACAAGCGGAUGCUGGAGGAGUCUGGUUUGGAAAUCAACCCCAACAACUUCAUCGACAUGCAGCGCAAGUGGAAAGAUCCGAAGACCAGCAAAUACUACGACUCCUUGGCUGAUGUUGCAGGCGGUGUCAUCCACCCAUUCUACGAAGGCAUGAAGAAGAAGAGGAAUAGGGAAGACCACAAACUGUGGGGGAACAGCCCGCUGCCAGACAACCUCAUCACGUACGUAGGAAUAGAUGCAUACGCAACAUACAAGUCAUGGAAAACAAUCCACAACAUUGUGACAGGUUGGGAUAUUACAAAAGAGCAGGAGGCUGACCCCUACUACCACUGCAACUUCGCGGAUGAAGAUGCAUGA
rnacentral:rRNA from 1 species